rnacentral:pre_miRNA from 1 species
AUAGCCAAGGAUGAUUUGCCUGUAGCAACCUCUGAGUGCUCCUGCUGCCAUGGCAGUCAGGAGCGCCAAGUGGGUGCUUCUCCGGGCAAAUCAUCUGGGCUAG